AUACUUACCUGGUGCCGGGAUAACCGUGAUCAACGAGGCGGCGUCCCCAGGGAGAGGCAUGGGCAUUGCACUGCGCCCGUGUUGACCCCUGCCACUACCCCAAACUGGGGCAGAUGGGGCAUGUAAUUUUUGGUAGUGGGGGACUGCGUUCGCGCUAUCCCCCU
rnacentral:snRNA from 1 species